rfam:Marine metagenome ctg_1101667264550, whole genome shotgun sequence.
AUUAUUACACGCAAAGGUAAUAAUCAAUUUAAUAAAAGGAAACUAUUAUUAAAUUGUAUCGGGAGGAAAUGCACGAUACA